UAUUAUUUUUUAUUUAAUCAAAAGAUUAUGAUUAAUAAAGAAGACAUUUAUAACUAACGUGAGAUAAACAGUACGAGCUAAGUAUAAAGUAACAGAAAAAACAUCUUAGUUUAUGUUAUAAAAUUAAAGUGGAUAGGUUAUGCCAUAUUUUUUGCGAUAAAAUUAUCACUAUGGUCCGGCAACAAACAACGUAGCUUCCAAGAAAUACUUAAGU